CCUACGGGUGGCAGCAGUAGGGAAUCUUUCACAAUGGGCGAAAGCCUGAUGGAGCAACGCCGCGUGCAGGAUGAAGGCCUUCGGGUUGUAAACUGCUUUUAUAAGCGAGAAAUAUGAUGGUAACUUAUGACUAGGGAUCGGCUAACUACGUGCCAGCAGCCGCGGUCAUACGUAGGAUCCGAGCAUUAUCCGGGGUGACUGGGUGUAAAGAGUUGCGUAGGUGGCAUAAUAAGGAGCUAGUGAAAUCUGGUGGCUCAACCAUUCAGACUAUUAGCUAAACUGUUAAGCUCGAGACCGUUAGGGGGAACUAGAAUUUCUAGUGUAGGAGUGAAAUGCGUAGAUAUUAGAAGGAACACCAAUAGCGUAGGCAGGUUACUGGGACGGGUCUGACACUAAGGCACGAAAGCGUAGGGAGCAAACGGGAUUAGAUACCCGUGUAGUC
rnacentral:rRNA from 1 species